GUCCACUCUUGGUCAGAGCCCAUGGUCAGCUUUCCCUGAGGCAUGGAGCUACUUGGAGCAGAGUGGAUAUGAGGACAAAUCUGGGCUCUGAUAGGAAAGAGGGAGGGGAGAAUGGAUGCUGGAUAGUCCCUCAGGUGCUGUGGGUCAGGUGUAGCUCAGAUCUUCAUUGCUCUCUGCUGCAUAUCAGAAGGAUAAGACUAAGAUAAAAACACUUGGCAAGAUGGGCUUUUUUCCCUUUCCAGAAAGUUUCCAGAGGAAGGCAUGCAUAUGUUGAGUCUUAGAGAAUGAAUAAGACUUGGCCAGGAGGUAGAUGGAAAAUUAUUCCAGAAUGUGGAAAUAGUAUGCACAAAGGCUGGAGACAUGAGAAGGCAUGUUGUGUUCUGGGAACUACAAGUCUUCAAUAUCUGUCGCACAGUCAUGUCCGACUCUUUGCAAUCCCAUGGACUGUAGCCUGACCCGCUCCUCUAUCCAUGGAAUUCUCCAGGCAAGAAUACUGGAGUGGGUUGCCACUUCCUUCUCCAGGGGAUCUUCCUGAUCCAAGGAUUGAACCUGGGUCUCCUGCGUUGCAGGCAGAUUCUUUACCAACUGAGCCACUAGGGAAAUGGGUUUAAUAAUAGAUCUACCUUCCAGGGUAUUUGUAAGGAAUAAAUGAAACAGUACCUGACCAAUAUCUGACCAGCUACAAAUCAGGAGCUCAACCAAUGUCUUUUUUAAAAGUUCUGGGCUUCCCUGGUGGUCCAGUGGUUAAAGAAUCUGCUUUGCAAUGUAAGGGACACUGAUUAGACUGCCAGUCCUGAAAGAUCCCACAGGCCACGAAGCAACUAAGCCCAUGGGCCACGUCUGCUGAACCUGCACUCUAGAGCCCACGAUCCACAACGCGAUGCAAGUACUGAAGCCCUUUCGACUAAAGCCUAUACUCUGCAACAAGAGAAACCACUGCAAUGAGAAGCCCGCCCACUGCAACAAAGAGUAGCCCCCGCUUGCCACAACUAAAGAAAGCCCGUGUGCAGCAAAGAAGACCCACUAUAGCCAAAAAAUAAAUAAAUAAAAAGUUCUGAUAGAGGGAGAAAUAAGUCCGCUGACAGAAGGGACUAGGGAACGGAUGUGCACUGCUGUACACUGAAGCAGGCAGAGAAUAGUGUUGAUGGGUGGAUGAAUGGAUGGAGUUACCUUGGUGCACUCAGGAUGGGUGAGUUG
ensembl:lncRNA